rnacentral:lncRNA from 1 species
AGACUUCAACCAUCAUAAACCCUAGCUAGCCAUCCCAAAUUCCUCCGCCAUUAAUGGCGACGCCACCUCUAUUUCCCACCAAAAUGACAUCAUACGUUCUCCUUCACCCCCACAUCCCAAUCUCUAAUCCUUUUACCUCAAAUCCAUCCAGAACUAAUUAACACCCCAGGAAAGUCUUAUCUCCCUCAUACCAAAUCCCCCUUGGUUUCCUUCGAAUCCCCCUCCAAUAUUUUGAAUCUUAAAUCAAAAUAAACCCCUUAUUCCCAAGAGGUCCCCGGUUCGUUUAUGCUAUCAAUUUCGAGGUUACUCGUGUGUUCUUACUAGGAACACACGAUUAAUGUCGUAAUGGGCCAGAAAAUCCAAAAGAGUUUGAAGCUUGAUCCUUUCUUUCAUGUAUUGAGGCCCUUGUAGGUAUUUCUUUUGAUUAGUUUAUUUUCUUUACUUUCUCUUUUAGUUUUGCUUUUCUAGUGUUAACUGCUUCUUCCCUUGCUUUUGAAACUCUUAGUUUUCUAAAUUUCAGAGUGUUAAUUAUAUACGCGUUAGUUUUUUUAAGAGGUUUUCUUUUCUUUUAAGUAGUUUAAGAAUUUAUUAAUAAUUUAGUUCAAAUUUCAUCAAGUGGUUAGUUGCAUCAAUUGGAAUUAGCAGAAAUUUUGUCGAAUUGCUUCUGUUCUGCUAAUUAUGUGUUUGGGUUUGAGGUGUACACCUUUAGGUCCAGAUUAAGCCUUGGUUUCCUAAGGGAUUCGACCCAGGGUCAAUUUGACCCAUAACCCAUUUGAGUAUAGGGUAAAAUUCAGAGGUCUGAGGGGUAAUUUGGGGUAAUUGAUUGAGGAAAUCUUGCUAUAACAAUUUGGGGAAGCUUUUAGGAAUCUAGGAAAGGGGAUUGUGUGCAAUACUAAUUUUAACUAGGGACUUUUUAAGCAAAACUGAAAAUUAGAGAAGGGUUUAUUUGCAAAAGUGAAUUGUGAAGUUUGCCCUAUUUUUCUUGCAUAUAAAGGAAUCCUAUUCUUGAUUUGCGAGGGUGAGAAUUAGGAGAUAGAAAUCAGAAAAUACCAAACGGCCAAAAACUUUUCUACUGUUUGAUCGGUUUUAUUGCUUUCCUUUGAUUUCUGAAGCUUUUAACUCCUGAAUUAAUUUCUAAAUAGUUUGAGGAUUUGAAAUGGACUGAGCUUGAUGUUAGUUGUUUGAAGAUUUUUGAAAUCACUAUUUCAUUAAGUUUUUUCUGUGAUCUAUUCAACUUCUAAUUCCUGAAGCAGUCUCUAAGAUAUCUGGGCUGAGAUGCAUCAAAUCUGGUGUUUUAAAAACCUGGUCUGAAGUUUGGGUUGUGGAAUUCUAAUUGUUGAAGCGCCAGUUUUGUUGGUUUAAAGUUGCUUCCGUGGUUCAUUGAUGUUGUUGGAUCAUGUCGUUGCUACUGCUGAACCUUACUCCCUUUUUUUCUCAUUUACAGGUAUUACUCAACCUUAUGGACAUCACCUAAUGUGUAAUAUCAAGCUGGGGUUGAAAUAAGAUGAAGUGUGUUGUUAAUUCAUUGAAAUUCAUCUUUGUUCUUUCAGUUUUGUGAUUAGCAUACCAUGUUUGGACUUUUGAUUAAUGUCUUUAUCACCAUAGUGGUUGUAAUCGAAGUCUAUAUCGCACUAGCUUAGUAUAUGUGGUCCUCUAUGAUUUAGUUGCCAGACUCUACAAUCAGCAUGAUUUUACCAUGUGUGUUCUUUUGUUUUGUCUGUAAUGUUAAAGGUUGUACUGGUGAGGUAAGUUAGGAGAUACAUGAUUGGCAUGAGUGCAUAUUAGAAUUUGUUAUGGUGAAUAACCUACGGUCAGGUUCUGCGUUUAGCAUGUUAGGAUAAAAUAUGUUUUAUUAAGCUUCUCAUUGUUUUAUCCAUCAAUUAUUUGUAUCGAAGACAUGUAGAAUGGAAGUUUAAUUUGAGAAAUGGAAAGGGGAUAUUGAAAUAUGCAUGCUGAACCUAUGUUAGUAAGAAGAUUGGUGGAUAAAUAUUUGUCAAUAAGAAUGUAUAAUCACAGAUUGAAAACAGUUAUUUCGAAUGAUUAAUGGUCUGUUUGUGUUUAACAUUGAAUAUCAGUGAUUGUGUUUGGGAUUUCGAAUCCAUUAUGUCAUUUGAGGCCUAAUUCAUACGAUGGGAUUGAGUUGUGUUUGCAGGGACUCGACAUAGGUUCUGACAGUAAGGUACUUUGCAUUUGUCAAUUUGGGCUCAACGUGAGCCCAAAUCUUGAAGUUCAGCCAUUGGAUGCUUGCCAUACGUUACUAUCUUGCUGGGCAGGCUCAUUCUAUUGACUGGCCCAAAUCCUUUGUCAUUAAUCGAUUAGAUCUGAUUCCUAAAGCAAUGAUCCAAGGGUUCCUGUGUCCUUUAAUCAUUUAAUC